UAGAGGAACAAUCACAGAAUGAAAAACAGAUCAUUACGAACCUCAAAGACAAGGAGUUGUACAUAGCCAAA